rnacentral:rRNA from 1 species
GAGAGUGGGUAGUCGCACGAGCGCACCCUACCUUAUUGCCAUCGGGUUAUGCCGGGCACUUUAGGGGGACUGCCGGUGACAAGCCGGAGGAGGGUGGGGAUGACGUCAAGUCCUCAUGGCCUUUAUGACCAGGCUACACACGUGUUACAAUGGGGCGUACAAAGGGUUGCAACCCCGCGAGGGUGAGCUAAUCCCAUAAAACGUUUCGUAGUCCGGAUCGCAGUCUGCAACUCGACUGCGUGAAGUCGGAAUCGCUAGUAAUCGUGAAUCAGAAUGUCACGGUGAAUACGUUCCCGGGCCUUGUACACACGCCGUCACACCAUGGAGUGGUGCAAAGAGUGGUAGCAUACUUGAGUGCGCUCACACUUGUGAUCAUGACUGGGUGAGUCGUACAGUACCGUAGACUGCGCUGAUCACUCU